AUGUCAUUUUCUGAUAUGCCAACUCCACUAAUAGUCCAGACUCCUGGUUCCAAAUGGCAAACCUCCAAGGUAAGCCAUGGUAAUGAAGUCCUUGUUGACAGACUGGUAUUCCUAGCCUCUUUGAUAUUUCUCAAGUCUUCAAAUAUUAACAUCAUCUUGGGCAUGGACUGGAUGACAGCUCAUCAUGCCAAGAUCGAUUGUUACACCAGAUCUGUUCAACUUACACAUCCAUCUGGCAAAAUAGUCACUGUCUCUACUAGAGUUGCAAGGCGUCAACUCUAUUCUCUUAAUGCCAGCCCUCUUCCAGACCUUGAAGAUAUUCCGGUAGUCCAUGAUUUCCCGGAUGUCUUUCCAGAAGAACUGCCAGGUGUCCCACCUGAUAGAGAUGUAGAGUUUGUCAUAGAACUUAUCCUGGGAACUGUUCCAAUCUCUAGGAGACCAUACAAGAUGGCACCUUUGGAGUUAGCCGAGCUUAAGAAACAACUUGAUGAGUCCUUGCAAAAGGGUUUCAUCCGUCCCAGUUCUUCUCCUUGGGCUUGUCCUGUCCUCUUUGUCAAGAAGAAGGAUGGUACGGAUCGGAUGGUUGUAGAUUAUCGUCCCAUUAAUGUGGUCACGAUAAAGAACAAGUAUCCACUCCCCAGGAUCAACGACCUGUAUGAUCAGCUCGCUGGAUCCUCAGUCUUUUCCAAGAUGGAUUUGAGGUUAGGCUACCACCAAAUCAAAAUCAGAAAUGGGGACAUCCCCAAAACGUCCUUUGUCACUCGUUAUGGUCAAUAUGAGUACACCGUGAUGUCUUUCGGCCUAACCAAUGCUCCAGCUACUUUCUCCCUCUUGAUGAACUCGAUCUUCAUGGAGUACUUAGAUAAGUUCGUUGUGGUUUAUCUCGAUGAUAUUCUUAUUUAG
rnacentral:rRNA from 1 species